rnacentral:rRNA from 1 species
UGGGAUUAGAUACCCCACUAUCAUGAACAGUAAUUCGGUAAUCUUAGUAUUAAUAGUUAUGAUCUUUAAAUUAAAAGAAUUUGGCGGUAAUUUAGUCUGUUCAGAGGAAUCUGCCCUGUAAUUGAUAUUCCACGAUGAAUUUUACUUUAUCUAUGCUUGUAUAUCUCUGUCAUUGAAUGUCCUAUUAGGGUAUUUUCUUUAAUCUUUAAUGUGUAAGAUGUCAGGUCAAGGUGCAGCGAUGGUAAAGAAGAGGUGGAUUACAUUAAAUUUAUUUAUGGAUAGUGAAUAUGGAAAUUUUCUUGAAAUUGGAUUUGAAAGUAAUUUCUAUUAGAAUAUAGAUUUGAUUUUAGCUCUAGAUUAUGCACACACCG